rnacentral:other from 13 species
GUUGACCUUACAGCAAAUCUUGCAGAAAACCUUAGUCAACUG